AAUUAAGGCCAGGAUUUUUUAAUUUGUUGGUUUACGGAUCCGCCGACCCGAUUUUGCCGAUUUCCAAAAUAAAAAUAAAAUCGAAUUAUCAGGCUUUUUUUUAUUCUUGCCGACCCUAACAAAUGCAUUAUCCCUGAAAAAUAAUUAAAAUAUCCUUUUUUAUAAAAUGAAAUGCAUUAAUCACUAACAGAAGUGAUGACACUUUCUGUUGUGAAAAAUGAAACUUUCAGUUUAUGUUUCUAAAAAU
rnacentral:lncRNA from 1 species